ensembl:lncRNA
GGAGGAGAGAAAAUAACUAAGGCGGAGAGAAAAUAACUGAGGAGGUGAGAAAAUAACUAAGGAGGAGAGAAAAUAACUGAGGAGGUGAGAAAAUAACUAAGGAGGAGAUAAAAUAACGGAGGAGAAGAGAAAAUAACCGAGGAGGAGAGAAAAUAACCGAGAUAGAGAGAAAAUAACCGAGGAGGAGAGAAAAUAACUGAGGAGGGGAGAAAAUAAAUGAGGAGGAUUGAAAAUAACGGAGGAGUGAAAAUAACCAAGGAGGAGAGAAAAUAACCGAGAUAGAGAGAAAAUAACCGAGGAGGAGAGAAAAUAACCGAGGAGGAGAGAAAAUAACUGAAGAGGAGAGAAAAUAACUGGAGGAGAGAAAAUAACUGAGGCGGGGAGAAAAUAACUAAAGAG